rnacentral:miRNA from 1 species
UGGUACCAUGGAUCUGUCUCUCGCC